AAAAGACGCGGCCAAUGGCUGCGAGCGCCAGAGGCCGGGGAGCAGGCUAGGCGCUGGGUGCUGGUCGGCUGUUGGAGCGCUGGUGGGAAUGGCAGCGGGGCCGGGAGAGCGGCGGCUCUAGGCGCCGGGUGGGUCGCGGCAGCCGGCUGCGGGGUUCGCCCUUUGUCUGCACCCUUCCAAAAUGGCUGCGGCCAGGGCGGGCGGUGACAGCUGCGCGGGCGCUCCCGGGGCCCCGGCGGUCAGAGAGGAGCAGGAGUCCUGGCACGAAGGCGCUUUCGGGGCGGAGAGGUGCGCAGAGGACGCCGCGGACACGACGGGUCAGCUCCCCUGACUUACAGCGGCCGAAAACAAAUUCCAGAUGGCAAAGCUUGUUGGGGACCUCAACGCAACUGACCUUCCUAGAAUCAUCGUCACCUCUGAAGAGACUUGCCACGGUCUGCACAGAUCCAGCACUGGGGAAUGAGGAAUUUGACACUGUAAUUUUUUUUUUUCCUUUCGUGCCUUGAAAGAGACUCUUCCCACCAGCUUUUACUACCCACACACACCCUCCAUGCACUCGGAAGAUGAAGGCAGGAGGAAAAGGAGUUCAACCUUUGUUAUGCAUUUAGUUGGAGGCCAGCCUGGGGGUCUUGUGGGGCCCUGUAUCAAAAAGGUGAGGUGAGAACUAUUCUCUCAAAAGCAGAGUAUAAACUCUCAGCCUGUGUGCUGAUCCUGUCCCAGCCUUUUAAACUAAAUGAGUUAUAUAACUACUAUACAAACCCCACCCUACCCCAGCUGUCCUCUAAGCAAUAGUCUACCUAAGGAACUGUGCGCCUUGAAGCCAAAAAACAAAACAAACAAACAAACCCCACAGUGCCCUCACUUGCAAAGUGUGCUUGGGAAUCCUUAAAUAACAGAAAUUUUGUUCUUGAACAUCAGCCUCCAGAUUUGGAAAGCCAGUAAAAAGAAAGAGACAAUGAGGAAGCAGGUUGGGUGCUAGAAGCCAGUAUAGGCUUGACACACACUAGAAGGAACAGAAAUUCACAGUUGUAAAUAAAACCCACGAGUCUUCUUUUGACACAGGAGAACACGUUCAGGGCCAAGAGCAUCAUCCUGAGUGAGUGGGACACUACUUAGUCACAGCCCCCAGCCACAAGUCACAGAAUUCUUUACUCUUGAUAAUGGUUUGAAGAUUUUAAAGUGGACCAAAGGAUCAGAAGGUUCUUGCUAAUCCUCUUGAUGCCGGUUAAUGGGACCCACCAGUUAGGUGUACAGUAGCCUGUACCCCGAAGCCAUUAGGUGACAGGGAGCACAACAAUGAGAGCCAUAGCAAAGCCCAGGCUCUGGAGCUCACAGGCCUCUUGGUACCACGGUACACAGCCUCCUUCCAUUCUUAAGCAUCUGCUAAUGACACAGCCCCUGAGCCACCAAGACUUAAGUUACAGGUGCAGGGUUUAGGGUCUGUGCCCACCAGUCCCUUCAUUCCUUGCUGCAGAGCCCAGUGUGGGAGCCACACAUCUUUCAGGUAGCUGUUUUCAAGUGCAGAGCUCUUAAGACUGAAGUGGGUGGAGCUAAAAAGUCUCCUCCCCUCCUCAAAAUCUAUAUGCAAGGGGCAGUAGACACUAUUAAAGCCUUAACCUUUGUCACUCUGGAGACUGAAGAACAAAUUUUCUUUAAAUUGUCUCUCCCUUUGAUACAUUGCCAUAGGCCAUUAUGACUUUCAUAGUUUGAACUAGCAUUAAAAGAGAAAAGGAAGAAUCAUUAAAUAUAAAGUAUAAAUAAAACACCCAUUUUGUAGAAACAGGGGACAACCUUUUGCAAGUAGGUUCCUGCCACCAUAGGUUUAAGGGAUCAAAUUUUUAUCAGGCUAAUAUGGCAACUACUUUUAUCUGCUUAACCAUUUCACCAGCACAAGAUGUUUAAUU
ensembl:processed_transcript 4921531C22Rik RIKEN cDNA 4921531C22 gene